rnacentral:rRNA from 1 species
AAAAGCUCGUAGUUGGAUCUCAGUUCCAGCCGGGUGGUCCUCCUACCGGUGGUUACUGCCCGCGCUGAACGAAUCAGCCGGUUUCCUUUGAUGAUCUUCAUCGGUUGUCUUGGGUGACCGGCAAGUUUACUUUGAAAAAAUUAGAGUGCUCAAAGCAUGCGUGACGCAUGAAUAAUGGUGCAUGGAAUAAUGGAAUAGGACCUCGGUUCUAUUUUGUUGGUUUUCGGAACACGAGGUAAUGAUUAAGAGGGACAGACGGGGGCAUUCGUAUUGCGACGCUAGAGGUGAAAUUCUUGGACCGUCGCAAGACGAACUACUGCGAAAGCAUUUGCCAAGAAUGUUUCCAUUAAUCAAGAACGAAAGUUAGAGGCUCGAAGGCGAUCAGAUACCGCCCUAGUUCUAACCAUAAACGAUGCCAGCCAGCGAUCCGGCUGUGUUCCUCAAAUGACACGCCGGGCAGCUUCCGGGAAACCAAAGCUUUUGGGUUCCGGGGGAAGUAUGGUUGCAAAGCUGAAACUUAAAGGAAUUGACGGAAGGGCACCACCAGGAUUGGAGCCUGCGGCUUAAUUUGACUCAACACAGGGCAACUCAUCUGGUCCGGACACAGGAAGGAUUGACAGAUUAAGAGCUCUUUCUUGAUUCUGUGGGAGGUGGUGCAUGGCCGUUCUUAGUUGGUGGAGCGAUUUGUCUGGUUAAU